UACGUAGGGGGCAAGCGUUGUCCGGAAUCAUUGGGCGUAAAGCGCGUGUAGGCGGUUCAGUAAGUCUGCUGUGAAAGUCCAGGGCUCAACCCUGGGAUGCCGGUGGAUACUGCUGGGCUAGAGUACGGAAGAGGCGAGUGGAAUUCCCGGUGUAGCGGUGAAAUGCGCAGAUAUCGGGAGGAACACCUGAGGUGAAGACGGGUUGCUAGGCUGACACUGACGCUGAGGCGCGAAAGCCAGGGGAGCAAACGGG
rnacentral:rRNA from 1 species